rnacentral:rRNA from 1 species
CGCUGGCGGCGUGCUUAACACAUGCAAGUCGAGCGGAAAGGCCCUUUCGGGGGUACUCGAGCGGCGAACGGGUGAGUAACACGUGAGUAAUCUGCCCUUGGCUUUGGGAUAACUACCGGAAACGGUGGCUAAUACCGGAUACGACCACUCCUUGCAUGAGGUGGUGGUGGAAAGUUUUUUCGGCCAGGGAUGUGCUCGCGGCCUAUCAGCUUGUUGAUGGGGUAAUGGCCUACCAAGGCUUCGACGGGUAGCCGGCCUGAGAGGGUGACCGGCCACACUGGGACUGAGACACGGCCCAGACUCCUACGGGAGGCAGCAGUGGGGAAUAUUGGACAAUGGGCGGAAGCCUGAUCCAGCAACGCCGCGUGAGGGAUGACGGCCUUCGGGUUGUAAACCUCUUUCAGUACCGACGAAGCGCCGAUGAUGGUGGUGACGGUAGGUACAGAAGAAGCACCGGCCAACUACGUG